GACGCUGGCGGCGUGCUUAACACAUGCGAGUCGAACGGUGACGGAGAGCUUGCUCUCCUGAUCAGUGGCGAACGGGUGAGUAACACGUGGGCAACCUGCCCCAGACUUCGGGAUAACGCUUCGAAAGAGGUGCUAAUACCGAAUACGAACCUCCCUGGCAUCUGGGAGGUUGGAAAGUUUUUCGGUCUGGGAUGGGCCCGCGGCCUAUCAGCUUGUUGGUGAGGUAACGGCUCACCAAGGCGACGACGGGUAGCCGGCCUGAGAGGGCGACCGGCCACACUGGGACUGAGACACGGCCCAGACUCCUACGGGAGGCAGCAGUGGGGAAUAUUGCGCAAUGGGCGAAAGCCUGACGCAGCAACGCCGCGUGAGGGAUGACGGCCUUCGGGUUGUAAACCUCUUUCAGCAGGGAAGAAGCGAAAGUGACGGUACCUGCAGAAGAAGCACCGGCUAACUACGUG
rnacentral:rRNA from 1 species